ACUGCCCCAUGACAGCUGGGUCUGAAAUCCUAGAUGGACCCAGUUUGAUGUCUUUGCAGU
rfam:Loxodonta africana unplaced genomic scaffold scaffold_34, whole genome shotgun sequence.